CUGCGGGUGUUUGUAAAUGGCCAAAUUAAAUUAAAGAAAGGGAAGAUCAGGAACAUUUGGGGCUCUCUGAGUAACCUGGAGAGAACAGAGAGGGUGGCUAUGACAUCAGUUUAUGGGGGGAGCAUGGCCAUUUGAUGCAAGGAGCUUAGUGAUCGUUCAUUGAGAACCUACUGUGGGCAAGAGACAUACAGAGCUGACCUCAGAGGCAGGAGUUUCAAGUCUGACCUCUGACACAUGCUUGCUGUGUGACCCCUGGAGGAGCAGUCUGCAUUUGCUGCAUUUGGUGUGAAAGGUUUCCCCCUGGGGAAUUCCUUGAGGGUACAGUGGCCAGUUUCUUGGCAUUUAAGUCCCUACAUUUUUCUUCCAAAGGCCCCAGCUUCUUCUCUGCCUGGUGUUCCUGGAGCAAUCAGCAAGUGGAGCUUCCUGUUCUGGCUUCAGAAAAAUGCCAGAGACCAGCAGCUGGUGAUAGACCCUCAAAUCAACCUUUAAAGACAAAUGUAGAAGAGACCAUAAACAGAGGGUCUGGGGAGAGAGACCCCCCACAGCCAAUAUUCUGGAGAGGGGAUGAAGAAGGGGACAAACCUGAAGUGCUGAAGACUCUGGAUUUACCAACAUGGCUCAGCUGCCUUCUUGUCCUAGAGUAUUUCUGUCAUGCUGGUUCCUUUCUCCCACUGGAGACUAAUCUUCCAACAGAGAAGGAGAGAACAAAAUUGGCUAAUGGAAUUAAAAUUAAAGAUAAAUGAAAAAGUAGUAAGAGACCACCUCAGUGCUCUCAAUGAAUUCAAGUCAGUACGUCAAUAUGAACUACAUUCAAUUGUACAAAUAAACAAAACACCCAAACAAACA
rnacentral:lncRNA from 1 species